rnacentral:rRNA from 1 species
UACGUAGGUGGCGAACGUUAUCCGGAAUUAUUGGGCGUAAAGAGCGCGCAGGUGGUUGAUUAAGUCUGAUGUGAAAGCCCACGGCUUAACCGUGGAGGGUCAUUGGAAACUGGUCGACUUGAGUGCAGAAGAGGGAAGUGGAAUUCCAUGUGUAGCGGUGAAAUGCGUAGAGAUAUGGAGGAACACCAGUGGCGAAGGCGGCUUCCUGGUCUGUAACUGACACUGAGGCGCGAAAGCGUGGGGAGCAAACAGGAUUAGAUACCCU